ACUAAAUUCAGUGUAUUUAACUUAAGUGGAUUAAUUGACGUCUUUUAUUGAUUUUCUGAAGUGAAUUUUAAAAUCGAAGUUAUUUCAAUUUCUAUUCUCUGUUGUAAUUGGCUGGUUUUCUCUUGUUGUUAAGGGAACUCAUUGAACACAUGAUUCCAGGGCAAUGGGAACGUUUGGUUGAGGUCACUUUGUAUUCGGACGAAGACCACACGACGAUCAACAUGUUGGUUACUCUAUUUUGGGACGAUCAAUUUUAUUUCCAAUGAAUAGUUUACAUUUUGACCAAUUGAUGAAUAUGAAGGAAACACUGGAAUCCUGGUGAUGAGGUUGAUUGAUAUUCGUGAAGUUUUGGUGAAUUCAAAUUAUGAUCUCUCUUAAUGUUCCAGUUGCUGUGAGAUGAUGUUUAAUUAUAUCACUUUGUGAUUAAGUUCGAUUUGGAUUGGAAUUGUUCAAUUCUGUUCUUCGAUCAUUUCUGGAACACGAAAAACUGAUGCAUACUAAUGAUUAGCAACUGAAUUAAUAAUUGUAAUGAUAAUCUUGUCAAUAUGAAUCUCUUACCGGUACACAAGAUCAAUUGUCCAUUUGAAUUCAAUCGACAAUCAUAUGGAAAUGUUUUCCCCGUUGUCGAUUGUUGUUCAUUGUUCGAGUCUGAAAUCGGAAUGAAAAGUAACAAUUCAAGAGAAUUUCAGAAUCUCAUCCAUCUUAUACUCGAGACUUUCCCGAAUCUCUUUCUACUAAAUAUAAUUGAUUUAAUUUAGUUCGAAAUCAUCUUACCUGAUCUCUCUCUCCUCAGAUUGUUUACAAAAAGUCGCCUAACAUUUGGAUCUACUCUUCCAUAUCUUCCGUUCAUGAAGAACAUACUUCGUUCCUUGGCUUCUGAAACUUUCCAAAUUGCGAUUAAAAGGACCAUCGAUAAAACGAUUGUUUGACUCAAUCCGAAUAACUUUCUGCUGGAUGAUAACAUAUUGAUCUUUUCUGAUGAUUUAUUCCUG